ACUAUACACGAACUGCAUGUUACACACUUCCCAGUUCACUAAACCAACUAUCACUAUGCGCUUGGUGUCGUGAUGUUUACUAUAUUUUGAUUGAUGAAUAAUAGUCCCAUUUCAGACAAUGGGCAAACUAUUCCUCGGUCUCCUGUUAUUGAUUCCUAACAAGACUAUAACAAGUACUUGGCAUCAUAUUCCUGCAAUCCUCAACGAUUCCUGUUGGUGGACCUAUGCUUACUCAUAGCCUCUUUGUUCUGGUAUUCCAUUUUUUGGGAUUCCAUAUGUUACUAUUCUUCAUUGCCUUCAACCAUUUGUUGACUCAUGUGAUGUGUGCCUCAUUGACUUUGAUCUGAUGAUCUUGCCAUUAGUCAUUUUCCAUUUUACCCCUUAAUCAGCCUAUGAUGAAAAUUUGGUAUCCAUUGCUCAAGGAUAUAAUCUGAUGUUGAUUCUCUUGUGAGGUA